GCGGCCGUCGUCUAGCCUGGACCAGGACGUAGGCCCUCCAAGCCUGCGACCCGGGUUCAAAUCCCGGCGGCCGCA
rnacentral:tRNA from 1 species